rnacentral:rRNA from 1 species
GAUGAACGCUGGCGGCGUGCCUAAUACAUGCAAGUCGAGCGAACAGACGAGGAGCUUGCUCCUCUGACGUUAGCGGCGGACGGGUGAGUAACACGUGGAUAACCUACCUAUAAGACUGGGAUAACUUCGGGAAACCGGAGCUAAUACCGGAUAAUAUAUUGAACCGCAUGGUUCAAUAGUGAAAGACGGUUUUGCUGUCACUUAUAGAUGGAUCCGCGCCGCAUUAGCUAGUUGGUAAGGUAACGGCUUACCAAGGCAACGAUGCGUAGCCGACGUGAGAGGGGGAUCGGCCACACUGGAACUUGAACACGGUCCAGACUCCUACGGGAGGCAGCAGUAGGGAAUCUUCCGCAAUGGGCGAAAGCCUGACGGAGCAACGCCGCGUGAGUGAUGAAGGUCUUCGGAUCGUAAAACUCUGUUAUUAGGGAAGAACAAAUGUGUAAGUAACUAUGCACGUCUUGACGGUACCUAAUCAGAAAGCCACGGCUAACUACGUG